rnacentral:rRNA from 1 species
UACAGAGGUGGCAAGCGUUGUUCGGAAUUACUGGGCGUAAAGGGCGCGUAGGCGGUUCGUUAAGUCCUGUGUGAAAUCCCCCCGGCUCAACUGGGGAACUGCACAGGAAACUAGCGGGCUUGAGUUCGGGAGAGGGAAGCGGAAUUCCGGGUGUAGCGGUGAAAUGCGUAGAUAUCCGGAGGAACACCGGUGGCGAAGGCGGCUUCCUGGACCGACACUGACGCUGAGGCGCGAAGCUAGGGGAGCAAACGGG